GAAAUGCGAUAAGUAAUGUGAAUUGCAGAAUUCAGUGAAUCAUCGAAUCUUUGAACGCACAUUGCGCCCCCUGGUAUUCCGGGGGGCACACCUGUCCGAGCGCCAUUUCACCUCUCAAGCCUCGCUUGGUGAUGGGCCUCGCCUGCGGGCGGGCCCGAAACUCGUGGGCGUCGACGACCGGCUCCGAGCGUAGCAAAACCCUCGCUUGGGACCCCGGCCGGCGGCCGCCCCGGACCUCACAAUCUUAGCACAAGGUUGGCCUCGGAUCAGGUGGGGAUACCCGCUGAACUUAA
rnacentral:misc_RNA from 1 species